rnacentral:rRNA from 1 species
CCUACGGGUGGCAGCAGUGGGGAAUAUUGCACAAUGGGCGCAAGCCUGAUGCAGCCAUGCCGCAUGUGUGAAGAAGGCCUUCGGGUUGUAAAGCACUUUCAGCGGGGAGGAAGGCGGUGAGGUUAAUAACCUCAUCGAUUGACGUUACCCGCAGAAGAAGCACCGGCUAACUCCGUGCCAGCAGCCGCGGUAAUACGGAGGGUGCAAGCGUUAAUCGGAAUUACUGGGCGUAAAGCGCACGCAGGCGGUCUGUCAAGUCGGAUGUGAAAUCCCCGGGCUCAACCUGGGAACUGCAUUCGAAACUGGCAGGCUAGAGUCUUGUAGAGGGGGGUAGAAUUCCAGGUGUAGCGGUGAAAUGCGUAGAGAUCUGGAGGAAUACCGGUGGCGAAGGCGGCCCCCUGGACAAAGACUGACGCUCAGGUGCGAAAGCGUGGGGAGCAAACAGGAUUAGAUACCCGAGUAGUC